rnacentral:rRNA from 1 species
CGGGAACUCUAAGGAGACUGCCGUGUGAUAACCGGAGGAAGGUGGGGACGACGUCAAGUCAUCAUGGCCCUUACGGGAUGGGCUACACACGUGCUACAAUGGCGUAUACAGAGUGCUGCAAUACCGCGAGGUGGAGCGAAUCACACAAAGUACGUCGUAGUCCGGAUUGGAGUCUGCAACUCGACUCCAUGAAGUCGGAAUCGCUAGUAAUCGUAGAUCAGAAUGCUACGGUGAAUACGUUCCCGGGCCUUGUACACACCGCCCGUC